GAUGGUGACCGUCCAUCUAUGGGUGCCGGGCUGCUGAUGAAUGUGACGGGCGGCGUGGGUGCUGUUUUUGGGAUCCCUGCUGGAUACUCAUCAACUUCCCCGAGGACCUGUUAACUUCAAACACAGAGAUGAUCAUCAGACUGGGAAGACUGACACCUGGGUACUUUCGACUCCUGCAGCGUCAGGUGUCUGGUGAGGUCCGGAUACAGCCGCAGAGCAGCCUCAUCGACCCCAUCGCCAUGACGAUGGCCACACUGGGUAUGGGCGUGUCUCUGUACAGCGCCAGGAGGAUGUCAGACAGAGUCCAUCUGAGUCCUCACCACGCCUGAGAUCACUGAGAAACAGUCUGAAGCAGACGGCCGCCCGUCAGAGCGGCUCUGUGGGCGGAACGUGUGGUCGUUUGUGUACGUCACUGAGGGUCUGUGUUGAGGUCAGAGAGAGAGUUAGUGUGUUUGUGGUGUUGAUUGAAGGAAACUGUGAGGUGUGUCAGCAGGGAAAAGUGAGUCACUGCUCAGAGAGGUUUGUCAUAGCCAAAAAAAAUUAACACUUUUAGUCUAAUCACACUAAGAGCAAAUAAAUGCGAGCCUUUAGUCGGUCCACCCUGUACAGAAAAUUUGUAUUUGUAAAAUGUAAUUUAAAUAAAUAAGCAUAUCAGGAACACAGCUUUAAAGUUCAUUCUGCUAAUGUUUUAUUAUAAUAUAUGGUAAAAUGGAGAGGAAAAACACAAAUAUGCUUGAAUAUAAAAUAGAACAUUCUCCCACUAUAAAAGCUUGAGUCACAAACAUGCCAUUUUUCCUGAAGAAAAAUGGUGAAAUCAUUGUUUUUUUAUUUUCAGCACCUUAAUCUUUUAAAUUAAAAAUGCAAAUCCUAAAGCAGAUUUGAACAUUUAAUGUACAUGAGGCACACUAGCUUCUGUUGAAGAUAUUUAUUUCAGGAUAUUUUCAUUUUUUAC